rnacentral:rRNA from 1 species
AGAGUUUGAUCCUGGCUCAGAUUGAACGCUGGCGGCAUGCCUUUACACAUGCAAGUCGAACGGCAGCACGGGAGCAAUCCUGGUGGCGAGUGGCGAACGGGUGAGUAAUAUAUCGGAACGUGCCCAGUCGUGGGGGAUAACGCAGCGAAAGCUGUGCUAAUACCGCAUACGAUCUCUGGAUGAAAGCGGGGGACCGCAAGGGCCUCGCGCGAUUGGAGCGGCCGAUAUCAGAUUAGCUAGUUGGUGGGGUAAAAGCCCACCAAGGCGACGAUCUGUAGCUGGUCUGAGAGGACGACCAGCCACACUGGAACUGAGACACGGUCCAGACUCCUACGGGAGGCAGCAGUGGGGAAUUUUGGGACAAUGGGCGCAAGCCUGAUCCAGCAAUGCCGCGUGCAGGAUGAAGGCCUUCGGGUUGUAAACUGCUUUUGUACGGAACGAAACGGUCUCUAUUAAUACAAGGGGCUAAUGACGGUACCGUAAGAAUAAGCACCGGCUAACUACGUGCCAGCAGCCGCGGUAAUACGUAGGGUGCGAGCGUUAAUCGGAAUUACUGGGCGUAAAGCGUGCGCAGGCGGUUAUAUAAGACAGAUGUGAAAUCCCCGGGCUCAACCUGGGACCUGCAUUUGUGACUGUAUAGCUAGAGUACGGUAGAGGGGGAUGGAAUUCCGCGUGUAGCAGUGAAAUGCGUAGAUAUGCGGAGGAACACCGAUGGCGAAGGCAAUCCCCUGGACCUGUACUGACGCUCAUGCACGAAAGCGUGGGGAGCAAACAGGAUUAGAUACCCUGGUAGUCCACGCCCUAAACGAUGUCAACUGGUUGUUGGGUCUUCACUGACUCAGUAACGAAGCUAACGCGUGAAGUUGACCGCCUGGGGAGUACGGCCGCAAGGUUG